GCUGGGUGUGGCUCAGUGGUUGAGCACCAACAUUGCGUGCAGAAAGUCCCAGGUUCAAUUUCUGGCAUCUGUA
rnacentral:tRNA from 1 species